GACGAACGCUGGCGGCGUGCUUAACACAUGCAAGUCGAACGGAAAGGCCUCUUUCGGGGGGUACUCGAGUGGCGAACGGGUGAGUAACACGUGAGUAACCUGCCCUUGACUUUGGGAUAACUUCAGGAAACUGGGGCUAAUACCGGAUAGGAGCUCCUGCUGCAUGGUGGGGGUUGGAAAGUUUCGGCGGUUGGGGAUGGACUCGCGGCUUAUCAGCUUGUUGGUGGGGUAGUGGCUUACCAAGGCUUUGACGGGUAGCCGGCCUGAGGGGGUGACCGGCCACAUUGGGACUGAGAUACGGCCCAGACUCCUACGGGAGGCAGCAGUGGGGAAUAUUGCACAAGGGGUGGAAGCCUGAUGCAGCAACGCCGUGUGCGGGAUGACGGCCUUCGGGUUGUAAACCGCUUUCGCUCAUGACGAAGCUUUGUGUGACGGUAGUGGGUAAAGAAGCACCGGCUAACUACGUG
rnacentral:rRNA from 1 species